GGCCCAUUCGUCUAUCGGCUAGGACGCAAGAUUUUCAUUCUUGAAAGAGGAGUUCGACUCUCCUAUGGGCUACUA
rnacentral:tRNA from 1 species